UCAAUAUCAAUUCCUCUUCCAACCAAAUCCGUUGCCACAAGAAUUCGCUUGUGCCCCUCCUUGAAACCCUUAUACCGAGUCAACCUUUCUUCCUGAGACAUUCCAGAGUGGAUGCAUAUUGAGGGGAAGUUGCAGUCCACCAAAUAACUUGUUCAGCUCAGCUGCUCUGUUCACACUUUUGACAAAAAUGACUACUUGGUUGAAAUCCAAGGCAUCAAGCAGGUCAUUCAACUUGCGAUUUUUCUCCAU
rnacentral:misc_RNA from 1 species